rnacentral:rRNA from 1 species
UACGAAGGGGGCUAGCGUUGUUCGGAAUUACUGGGCGUAAAGUGCACGCAGGCGGUCUGCCAAGUCAGAAGUGAAAACCCUGGGCUCAACCCGGGAACUGCUUUUGAUACUGGCCGGCUAGAAUCCGAGAGAGGGUAGUGGAAUUCCCAGUGUAGAGGUGAAAUUCGUAGAUAUUGGGAAGAACACCAGUGGCGAAGGCGACUACCUGGCUCGGUAUUGACGCUCAUGUGCGAAAGCGUGGGGAGCAAACAGGG